rnacentral:rRNA from 1 species
CUAUAUGGAUAGGCUAGCGCUCAAGAGAUAAAAGUUAUGAAUUUAUUAUAUUAGAUUAAUUCAUCAAAAUUAAAGAUUAAAAUAAGUAGGAAAAGAAAAUUAAAAAUAAAUUAAGAAAAAAAAUAUGAAUAACAACAACAAUGUAUAUCAACCUAAUAAAUUAAAAGGUACGUGAGUUGGGUUCAAUACGACGUGAGUC